rnacentral:tRNA from 1 species
GCCUUUGUUGUGUAGUGGUCAGCACCCUCGACGGUUAUUCAAGAGAUUCGUGGUUCGAGUCCCGGCAAAGGCA